GAAAGAAUUAUUCUAAAUAUAGAAAAAAAAUAUACUAGACAUCCCUAAUUUUGGAAAUAAAUUGAUCCAAUUUAGAAGGAUGGGAGAGUCCACUAGGCAUAAAUGGGUUAAUAUAAAUACAAAGAACUUUUACUGAAGAUUGAUGCUAACCAUUAGGUCUCCUUUAUAGGUAUGCUCCAUGAUAGUGUUGUAGGUCUCCUUUAAAGGUAUGCUCCAUGAUAGUGUUGUAGGUCUCCUUUAAAGGUAUGCUCCAUGAUAGUGUUGUAGGUCUCUUUUAUAGGUAUGCUCCAUGAUAGUGAUGUAGGUCUCUUUUAUAGGUAUGCUCCAUGAUAGUGUUGUAGGUCUCCUUUAUAGGUAUGCUCCAUGAUAGUGUUGUAGGUCUCCUUUAUAGGUAUGCGCCAUGAUAGUGUUGUAGGUCUCCUUUAUAGGUAUGCUCCAUGAUAGUGUUGUAGGUCUCCUUUAUAGGUAUGCUCCAUGAUAGUGUCGUAGGUCUCCUUUAUAGGUAUGCUCCAUGAUGGUGUUGGAGUUAUUGUGGUCUCCUUUAUAGGUAUGCUCCAUGAUAGUGUUAGAGUUAUUGUGGUCUCCUUUAUAGGUAUGCUCCAUGAUAAUGUUGGAGUUAUUGU